AGGAUACGUAUGUAAGGAUAGCAAAAUAAGUACCUAAGUUCGACGUUCUUAAUGCGAACUACGAUUCCCUUUAGAUCUUGCAGUUAAGAUCACAGGACGAUCAUUCACCUGCACCUUCGCAGGAUACGCUUCCAAAGCUGUAUUUUAUACCAGGAUGGAAACGCGAUAUUUGGAAACGCGGCGUAGAUAAGUGGAAUGCCCUGUACAGAGACGCGUUUGCAUACACGCCGGUGUAUAUCUAGAUGCUACAUGCAUCUGCGCCCGUCCGUUGAACGUGCAUGCACGCGAGUUUAACGAGCGCGGCAGAGGCUGGCGCCAAACGGCGAUCCUAACAUCGGCCAACCGAUUCGCGAUCUCUGCUUUCUACGAUAAUCCUCUGCGAUGGCAUACUGUUGUCCGCUGUGGAAACGUGAUCGAGCAUGAUCGAGCCUCAUGCUUACAGCCUAUCCUAAUAGAUAUCAUAAUGAACGUACAAAGUCGGGUAAAUACUGGCGUUGCAUA
rnacentral:lncRNA from 1 species